GAUGGACGCUGGCGGCGUGCCUAAUACAUGCAAGUAGAACGCUGAAGGAAGGAGCUUGCUCUUUCCGGAUGAGUUGCGAACGGGUGAGUAACGCGUAGGUAACCUGCCUGGUAGCGGGGGAUAACUAUUGGAAACGAUAGCUAAUACCGCAUAACAGUAGAUGUUGCAUGAUAUCUACUUAAAAGGUGCAAUUGCACCACUACCAGAUGGACCUGCGUUGUAUUAGCUAGUUGGUGAGGUAACGGCUCACCAAGGCGACGAUACAUAGCCGACCUGAGAGGGUGAUCGGCCACACUGGGACUGAGACACGGCCCAGACUCCUACGGGAGGCAGCAGUAGGGAAUCUUCGGCAAUGGACGGAAGUCUGACCGAGCAACGCCGCGUGAGUGAAGAAGGUUUUCGGAUCGUAAAGCUCUGUUGUAAGAGAAGAACGAGUGUGAGAGUGGAAAGUUCACACUGUGACGGUAUCUUACCAGAAAGGGACGGCUAACUACGU
rnacentral:rRNA from 1 species